GCGGGAUGGAGCAGUCUGGUAGCUCGUCGGGCUCAUAACCCGAAGGUCGUAGGUU
rnacentral:tRNA from 1 species